rnacentral:lncRNA from 1 species
UGAGUGAGUAGCAGGGAUGGGGCGGGCUGGUGCGGUAGGAGACUUGGAUUUAUUUAUUCUUUGGAUUCAGAGGCAGAAAGGGAGAUAAGCAGGAAGGUGAGAGAGAACCAUUUUAACCCAACAACUGGCGAAACAGGAGGCUGUAGCUGGUGGGACUGGGAGCAGAAUGCGGCCGGACCCCGUCCUGCUGCAGUAAUCUCGUGAUGCCGGCUCAGCCCAUAACUUGGGAGUCUGAUUACAAGUAAAGCGCCACUAAAGUUCAUCUCAUAAAAAUGCCGCGAGCUCACUUUGAUCAGCGCGGACUGGGUCCGGUGCCUGAGCAGGCGCUAAGCAGCCGGGGAAUGGCGGCUCCAGCCAAGCCAUCCGCCACUCCGCAGUGAGGCCGGAGACCCGGGUAGCCCAAGAGGGCAAUCUCUCCCGGAGAAGGGUUUUCUUCCUAGAUCAUGGCCUGUAGAGUGGGACCCUUUCCCCAUCAAAAUCUGCUCUCUAGCACCUGGAGUAGCAGGAGGAGGUAGGGGAGCUGCAAAACCACUCCAAUGGUGUGUGCAGGAGUUUGCCUGGAGCUGCCCAAGCCAAAUUCGGUAGAUACUGCCCCCUUCUGAAGCUGCCACUUUUGUCCCUGUGUGGGAAGUAAGGGCACUGGAGCCUGUCCUUUCUCUGGCCAGACCAUCAAGGCAGCCACCCAGACUGCAGCCGCCUGCUAAUGCCAGACAGGCAGCCGCAGGGACCAAGGCCACCAAGAGCCAGCAAGGAGGGCAAGAAAACCCUGUCAGGUGGUUUCAGGUGAAGGCUUGGACUCCAGGUGGACAGAGUGGCCACCAGGUGCCUACUAGCCAGCAGCAGCACAGCAAGCCAGACAAAGUUGGGACACUGGCUCACAGCUGGGCUGCCUCACCUUUGGGAAACUUCAGAUACUCUUCCGGG